rfam:Brachypodium distachyon strain Bd21 chromosome 1, whole genome shotgun sequence.
AUACUUCUUCUUCCGUCCAACAAAAGAUGUCUCAACUUUGACCAAAUUUAAAUGCAUUUAUACACUAAGUCAUGUCUAGAUACAUUCAAAUUUUGACAAACUUGAGACAUCUUUUGUUGGACGGUGGUAAUAUAUA